GUAUAUCGGAACUUCAUAUUAUUCUACUUAUGUGGUAUUUUUCAUCUUAAGUCUUGCAUGUGGGAACGAGGUAUGCAGUGCAGCCAAGGAUGACUUGCCGGCAACAAUGCUCCCAUACAAUAUUUGUAUAUCAACCCUAAUCUUGUAGAUCUAUAUAUGUAUAUAUGUAUAUGUGCAUAGCAUAUACAUAUGGGAUGUAUCAUGUAUGUUAAUGUCAUCUCAUGCGUAUAUGCAUGAUUGAUAAGAUACAUGAUCUUGUGACACUGAGUUGAUCGGCAAGUCGUCUCUGGCUACAUUUUUGCCUCCUUUUCUCAU
rnacentral:sRNA from 1 species